rnacentral:misc_RNA from 1 species
UCCGGUUUAACACCGGCAGUCUCCAUAGAGUGCCCAACUGAAUGGUGGCAACUAGGGAUAAGGGUUGCGCUCGUUAAGGGACUUAACCCGACAUCUCACGAUACGAGCUGACGACAGCCAUGCAGCACCUGUCUCGCUGCCCCCGAAGGGGAAACCGUAUCUCUACGGCUGUCAGCGGAUGUCAAACCCAGGUAAGGUUCUUCGCGUUGCAUCGAAUUAAACCACAUGCUCCACCGCUUGUGCGGGCCCCCGUCAAUUCCUUUGAGUUUUAACCUUGCGGCCGUACUUCCCAGGCGGGGUACUUAAUGCGUUAGCGUCGACACUGGAGGGGUCAAUUCCUCCAACAUCUAGUACCCAUCGUUUACAGCGUGGACUAC